AAGUAAUCGUGUUUAUCGUAUAAAGUUGGAAAUAAGGUCCAACAGUUUCUACCAAAUCACCAUAAAUGAUUUGACUACGAUAUGUUUUAUAUAA
rnacentral:ncRNA from 1 species